AGGGGCAUAUUGUCAAUGGUAGCAAGCCGGUCUCCAAAACCGUUAGUGAGGGUUCGAAUCCUUCUGCCCCUGCCA
rnacentral:tRNA from 1 species